UCUUCCGCUAUACGCCACGGACUGAGAAGUCAGACUGUUGUGUGUUUUUAUUCGUAAACGUUAAAUAUCAAACGGUAAUUCUGAUUCAUAAAUAUUUAAUCAGGGUUGAAAUGAGCGUCAUAGGAUUAAUAUCUAGCAAAGCUCCUGUUGAUAAAACUACCCGUUAACGCGAACCAGCUGUAGCUUCAUAGCUAGUAUGUGCUUUUAGCAACGCGGGUGUAUCUACAUACACUAGCGUAGCCCUUGAUCUUGCCCUUCCAUUAAAUUACACAUAAAUCAUUGGACGUAGGGGGAGUUUUGUCUGAACAUUAAUACGCGUCGCUUGCAUCGCAUCGGUUUUGAAAGCAUAAGGACCUUUCAUAUCGGUGAUUAAAUAUAUAUAUGUUUAAACAUGGAUAAAUUGAUGCUCAUUGAUUUGGGUUCCUACGCGGUCAUAUUUCCAUUUUACAGAGCUUGUUCACAGAAAACAUACGGAAGAGUGGACUACCUGUACUAAUUCGCUAUCUGCGUCUCUGAACACCUGUGUGUAAACGGAAGACAGACGCAACAAACGUGUUGUCACAGAAAAGUAUUGUCUGCUGCACCAGUGUUAAACCAGUGCAGCACAGGAGGUUGGUGGCACCUUAAUUGGGGAGGACGGGCUCGUGGUAAUGGGUGGUGUGGAAUAUGAUCAAAUACGUCAAACUUGUUUGAUGCCAUUCGCUCCGUUUCACACAUGAUUAUGAGCCGCCCUCCCCUCAGCAGCCUCCACUGCUGAGUAUCAUCAUGUCCAGGGUGCCGAAUGGGCAAGGUGCUGCUGUGAAAUGUUAUUCGUCACACAGAUGCCCACAACAAGAUCCAGGAGUCGGAGAUGUGGAAGUUGAGGGGGAUGGAGAAGGGGCCAUUCACCAGCCACAGAUCGAUGCCACGAGCCUUAAAUCCAUCCAGGAGUCACGUGCACUGUGAUCGUGUGGAGGAUGGGUCUGUAGACAGACUGGGAGACUGGCUGCGGGGAAGAGAACACGAUUCCAGCUAGGACAAGAGGGGGGCACGCUACUGGACCAAGAACCUCUAUGACUUUGAGGCCAAUGAUUCAGACAGAGGUUUUAAGGAGCUAUACCCUGAGGAGUUUAAAAGUGACUGGGAUAGAGACCGUGGUGAUGAUCAGAAUGGGCAUUGGAGAAAGAAAACGUCCGGACUUAAAACAGCCAAAUCAAAACAUCUGAAGAAGUCCUCCAAGAAGAAGAAGGAGGAAAAGUGAAGGAUAGGUGAGUCAGACGGUGAGUCCAGCAGCGACAAGAGCCACCGUGUCAAACAGGAACAGAAGAGGAACAGCGAAGGAUAGGUGAGUCAGACGGUGAGUCCAGCAGCGACAAGAGCCACAGUGUCAAACAGGAACAGAAGAGGAAAAGCAGCAAGAGCAAACAUAAGAGAAAAAAGUGUGAGAGAGAGGAGGAGAGCAGCUCAGAGGAGGAGGAGGAGAGCAGCUCAGAGGAGGAGGAGGAGAGCAGCUCAGAGGAGGAGGAGGAGAGCAGCUCAGAGGAGGAGGAGGAGGAGGAGGAUGAGGAGAGAGGGAGAAGGAGGAAAUGAUAGAUGGACUCCCACAGAGACUCAGGACCAGAGUCACACAAGAAGAGGAGGAAAAACUGGAAAGCAGGAGAGGACAAAUCAGAGGACAGUUCUGAGGAUUCAACCUUUUUCCAUUAGCAGCCAGUAAUCUGUACCCUCAUACUGCCCCCUUUCAGUUGCUGAAAGUGAGUGGGCAAAGCUUUCACAGUUACACCCCACUUCCACUUUAGUGUCCAAUGUUUCCCACUAGAUUUGUUGAGAACACAGCAUCACCAUAGCUAAUUGCUAGACAUGUUUGUGAUUUAUCCAAUAAGACAACUGAGGAAUUGGCUAAAGUACAAAUAGAACUUUUGAACAGACCUACUGGCAGGGGAAAGCAUAUCGCUCUUCCCUUAACCAUGUUCCUCUGCAAUACUCUUCUGUGCUGUACUUCUCUUUCUGUGUACAGCUGAGCACAAACCUGUGUUCUCCCCUAAGGGCAUUCAGCAGUACCUCACCUUCUGUUACUGGUGCUGCUCAAGCUGCAGUGCUCAGAUAGUGAGCUGACACUGCACAAAUAUGGACUAAACGAAAGCCACCUAAUUCCACCUCAUGACAAGUUGAUUGACUGCUGAGCCUUGUCUCAUAGUUAGUGUCCUGGCGUGACUUUAGCUGUUAUACUAUGGAAAAUUAUGACAUUUUAUGCAGAUUUCCCAACCAAUUGUGACAAUCUUUUAUGCUUUUUUAAAAUUCAGUAUUUAUUUUAAAAACAUUUGAUUUAUGGGAGUCGGGAUUUAACGGAAUGUCAGGUGGGACAUUGAAAAAUAAAAUGCAUAUUUCGUUUUCUGAAAAUGUACUCUGGUUAUCACACCAUACUUUUAGACAGGAAGGACAAAUCACAUGGAUCUCAUGUUAUGACUGCAGGAUAUCUACAUGACUAUCAUUCACAAGUCUUCUCAGUAGGCCUAUAGCCUUUCUAUUUCAUGAGCUUGAGCAUGAAUUUGACUUCAUGCAUCAAAUUCUAUGAAAUAAUAUGCCCCUUGGGUUGAAUACGUCCAGAACUGGG